rnacentral:rRNA from 1 species
UACGUAGGUGGCAAGCGUUGUCCGGAUUUACUGGGCGUAAAGAGCGCGCAGGCGGUCGUUCAAGUCGCGUGUGAAAGCCCCCGGCUCAACUGGGGAGGGUCACGCGAUACUGAUCGACUCGAAGGCAGGAGAGGGAAGUGGAAUUCCCGGUGUAGUGGUGAAAUGCGUAGAGAUCCGGAGGAACACCAGUGGCGAAGGCGACACGCUGGGCCGUACCUGACGCUAAAGCGCGACAGCAUGGGGGAGCAAACGGG